AAGUGAAGAGUUUGAUCCUGGCUCAGAGUGAACGCUGGCGGCAGGCCUAACACAUGCAAGUCGAGCGGCAGCGGGUCCUUCGGGAUGCCGGCGAGCGGCGGACGGGUGAGGAAUGCAUCGGAAUCUGCCUCUAUGUGGGGGAUAACGUAGGGAAACUUACGCUAAUACCGCAUACGACCUACGGGUGAAAGCCGGGGACCUUCGGGCCUGGCGCAGAGAGAUGAGCCGAUGCCGGAUUAGCUAGUUGGCGGGGUAAUGGCCCACCAAGGCGACGAUCCGUAGCUGGUCUGAGAGGAUGAUCAGCCACACUGGGACUGAGACACGGCCCAGACUCCUACGGGAGGCAGCAGUGGGGAAUAUUGGACAAUGGGCGCAAGCCUGAUCCAGCCAUGCCGCGUG
rnacentral:rRNA from 1 species